AUAGCGUAUAUUAAAGUUGUUGCAGUUAAAAAGCUCGUAGUUGGAUUUCAAGGGUCGCAGCGUGUAACCACGUUUGCUCCCUACCAGUCUUUGACUGUUACUGUGAGAAAAUUAGAGUGUUUCAAGCAGGCUGUUGCAGGAAUACAUUAGCAUGGAAUAACGAAUGUGUCUAGAAUCUUGGUUAAUUCUAGAUUACGAUUAAUAGGGACAGUUGGGGGCAUUAGUAUUUAAUUGUCAGAGGUGAAAUUCUUGGAUUUGUUAAAGACUAACGUAUG
rnacentral:rRNA from 1 species